CGCAAAAGGGAGGCAGUGACACUACAAACAACUCAAACAAGCAAAGUGAAACAACGGGCCAAGGAACUCUCAACGCGAAGGAUGUGGACAACGCUCUGUGAAUACAAACAAACUAGAUCAACGACACUUAGUUUCAUGUUGCCAGCGUGUGCCAAGAAGAAAAAUGCUACUAGAUUGGAGAGAUUUUGUGUCAACGUUUUGGAGAGAUUGUCAGUGCU